GUAGGGAAUAUUGGACAAUGGGGGCAACCCUGAUCCAGCGACGCCGCGUGAGUGAUGAAGGCCUUCGGGUCGUAAAGCUCUGUUGCAGGGGAAGAACACAAUGAAGGUACCCUGUAAGAAAGGAUCGGCUAACUUCGUGCCAGCAGCCGCGGUAAGACGAGGGCUCCUAGCGUUGUUCGGAAUCAUUGGGCGUAAAGCGGAUGUAGGUGGCUAUGUAAGUCAGAUGUGAAAGCCUGGGGCUCAACCCCAGAAGUGCAUUUGAUACUGCGUAGCUUGAGUGUCGGAGAGGUUACUAGAAUUGUUGGUGUAGUGGUGAAAUACGUAGAUAUCAACAGGAAUACCGGAGGCGAAGGCGGGUAACUGGCCGAACACUGACACUGAGAUCCGAAAGCGUGGGGAUCAAACAGGAUUAGAAACCCCGGUAGUCC
rnacentral:rRNA from 1 species